CCCCUAACGUUAAUAUUCAACGUAAAGCAAUUAGAAACCUACUGAUAAAAUAUUUAACGGUACUCUUAAUAAGUAAAUGUAUUGUAAAAAAGCAUAAACAGGAAAAUGGUGUGAAGAAUGGUUCAAACAGGGAAAGUUCCAAGCAUACAUAAAAACAUUGUCUGCUCCAGUUAAUAACCAAACGAUCUGCUAAAUCGUGGUCUCCACAACAGAGGAAAAAUCAAUUCCUACAGCAUAGAUACGUAACUUCCUUUAAUCUCUGUACAUUUCUAUUGUCUGCUAUUCCUGAAAAGGAUAUCUCAGAUCUGCUAUGUCUUAGACAAGAUGACCCUGUGUUAAGUACAUCUGAAGAUUUCCAAGUACAUUAUUGAAUAAUACUUUGAAGGGGAAUAAAGAGGUGCAAAGAGAAGAGGUGAACAUUAACGAAUGCAGUUGUACUAGGAUCCAUGAGACAAUUUAAGGACAGGCCAGAUAACCAUGAUGGUACCAUCCCUCUCUAAUUAAUAGAAAGAACCGGCCAGAUCUAUACCUCAAAGGAGAAAAAAGUUAGAUGGCUGCUUUGAAGAUUUAGUCAUUAAGAUUAUAAAGGCAUCUGCAAUUGAAAGUUGGCGCGGAAGGUGAGGUGCUUACCCUUUUGACGGAACAUACAAAUAUAAUUUUAAGUUUUUGAAAGAAUACAAUAAAAAAUGUAAUGAAUGCACAGCUAGAACAAAGUUCAAUUCUAACUGGGGAAGCUAACAGAUCAUUUUACGGUUUAUAUCUCUUAACCUCGCUGCAACAUUAUUUGGUCUAAGCAUUACUUCAACACUUCCAGAUGAUCA
rnacentral:lncRNA from 1 species